rnacentral:rRNA from 1 species
UCCUACGGGAGGCAGCAGUGAGGAAUAUUGGUCAAUGGUCGGGAGACUGAACCAGCCAAGCCGCGUGAGGGAUGAAGGUACAGAGUAUCGUAAACCUCUUUUGUCGGGGAGCAAAGAGAGUCACGUGUGACUCAUUGAGAGUACCCGAAGAAAAAGCAUCGGCUAACUCCGUGCCAGCAGCCGCGGUAAUACGGAGGAUGCGAGCGUUAUCCGGAUUUAUUGGGUUUAAAGGGUGCGCAGGCGGAGGUGCAAGUCAGCGGUCAAAUUGCGGGGCUCAACCCCGUACUGCCG